rnacentral:lncRNA from 1 species
AAAAGAUGUACACUUACCUGUUAUCUUAAUGGUGUAAAAACUGACAUGCUUUUAGACAGCGGGGCCCAAGUAACCAUCGUAACCAAAUUGUGGCUCCAAAGUAAUCUACCAGACACUCAGAUUCAGUCUCUAGAAGAUCUUUUGCCAAAUGAUCCUCUUAGAGUAACAGCAGCUAAUGGGACGGAUGUACCUUUUGAUGGAUGGGCCGAGCUGUUAGUUGAAAUCAAAAGUCCUAACCAUGGUGAAGUAGCCAUCCAGGUACCAGUUUUAGUCAGUCAGAGCUGUGUUAGUGGUCUUCUUUUAGGCUUUAACGUGAUCGAGGAGAUCAUUUUGGAAAGUCUUGAAAAACCAGGCAGUGUUAGCUUGAGUGAUUUACUGGCUGAAGCUUUAAAAUUACACAGACACACCGCAGAGACCAUAGUAUCAGUGAUUAGUGAGAAUCCAACUAAAGAUCACAUGAUAAAUGACACUGUCAGAGUUGGUAAAAGGGGUUUGACUAUUCAUAGUGGCCAAAUCUGUGAGAUUAGGUGUCAUGUCAAGUCGAGACCACAGGGUGACACAGUCUUAUUUGAACCUACAUGGAAACCAGACUUACCAGAAGGCUUACAGUUGUUUCCUGCUUUAGUUAACGCACCCAAUAUCUCAUCCAAAGCUAUUAGAAUACCAGUCAGUAACCAAAGUAAACAUGACAUUUUUCUGCCAGCAAGAACCAUUUUAGGUCACAUUGAGGAGAUCACUGAGUGUAGGCCUGUAAAUAAUGGCUCAGCUACAGACAGUGAGACAUUAAUGUGUGCAGCUCAGGUGAACCAAACUAGUGACCCAGUUGGCAGUGGAGAACAGUCACAGGCCAAAGAAAAAUGGCAUCCUCCAGUUAACUUAGAGCAUCUUGACCCAGAACAGCAAAAGAUAGCGUGUGAAAUGCUUUAUGAGGAAUCAGACAUCUUUGCAAGAGAGGAUGGGGACAUAGGGUUAAUUCCAGAUCUUCAGCUAAAGAUUAGUGUAGUGGAUGACAACCCAGUCCAGAAAUGUUACAACUCCAUCCCUAAACCUCUCUACAAAGAAGUGAAGGACUAUGUGCAAAACCUUUUGGACCAAGGGUGGAUCCGCAAGUCAAAGUCCUCCUACUCCUCACCAGUGGUGUGCGUGAGGAAGAAAGACCAAAGUUUACGGCUCUGUGUGGAUUUCCGAGGACUAAACAAAAAGACUAUUGCCGAU